UCGCCCUUCGAAAGACUCAUCCUCAGAGAAGACUAGGGCAGAGACUGCCAACUCAUUUUUAUUAGUCUUUCACUAAAAACAACAACGACAACAACAACAAACAAAACAAACAAAAAACUUGACAAUGCUUAAAAAUAGGGAAAAUUCAAAAGAAAAUCUUGAUUUCCAGUGAGCUCUCAUUCCUACACGGCUGUGGACAAGCUGGAGCUGAGCAGCUCUGCUCUCCGUACUGUGCGGUCUGUUUUUGAAAUGUCGGGCCUUGAGUUUUCAAUUCCCACUGCAGAGGUGGUUUUUCUGGGACGCUGGGAUCCGUCCAGAGUUACCGCCCAGAGCGGCAGUUCUUAAAGCGUGGUCCAAUAGCAUCAGCGACGUCUGGAACUUGUUAGAAAUGCAGAUUCUUGGCCCCAUUUACUAUCGGAUACUCUGAGAGUGGGCCCCGCGAACUGUGAACAAGCCCUCCAGGGAUUCCGUGUGCCUGCUGCAUCCACUUCCAACUGGACGCAAACUGCUCACACCCUCCCUGCCCUCCCUGCACUGAGUCAGAGUGCGUGACAGGGGUGGGGGGGUUGAGGGAGUGUCAAAAUCCUCGGACGUGUUUGGACUGGGGCUCGAGUCUGUGUGCCCUUGCCUUUCUCUGAAGCUGCUCUGGACACUCUUAGAACAACGGAAACUGACAUGGUCGUUCUCACCGACUCUGCGCCCCGGGCUCCCACCCGCUCCCAUCUCGCGUCCUGCUGCUCAGAACUGCCCAGCUUCCGGAGGUCAGGUGUACCUGGGCUGUGACCCUUGACCUGCAAAUUUGUCACCUAAAGACUGGACCCAAUACCUUUACCUUUCCCUUGGAAGUACAAGAAUUGUCUAUUUUUCCCCCUCCCAGAGUAUCUAAAAAUCGGAAUGAAACUCA